CCAACGUAUCAUGUGGGGUAUGUGUCUAGCACAGAGCUUUGUCUAGUUACCAUAGAGAGGAAGGACAGGCUUCUAACUACCAUAGAGAGGACAGAGCUUUGUCUAGUUACCAUUGAGAGGAAGGGCUAGCUUAUUGUUACCAUAGAGAGGACAGAGCUUUGUCUAGAUACCAUAGAUAGGAAGGGCCAGCUUAUAGUUACCAUAGAGAGGACAGAGCUUUGUCUAGUUACCAUUGAGAGGAAGGGCUAGCUUAUUGUUACCAUAGAGAGGACAGAGCUUUGUCUAGUUACCAUUGAGAGGAAGGGCUGGCUUAUAGUUACCAUAGAGAGGACAGAGCUUUGUCUAGUUACCAUUGAGAGGAAGGGCUGGUUUAUAGUUACCAUAGAGAGGACAGAGCUUUGUCUAGUUACCAUAGAUAGGAAGGGCUGGCUUCUAACUACCAUAGAGAGGACAUAGCUUUGUCUAGUUACCAUAGAUAGGAAGGGCUGGCUUCUAACUACCAUAGAGAGGACAGAGCUUUGGCUAGUUACCAUAGAGAGGACAGAGCAUUGUCUAGUUACCAUAGAGAGGACAGAGCUUUGUCUAGUUACCAUUGAGAGGAAGGGCUGGCUUAUUGUUACCAUAGAGAGGACAGCGCUUUGUCUAGUUACCAUAGAUAGGAAGAGCUAGCUUAUAGUUACCAUAGAGAGGACAGAGCUUUGUCUAGUUACCAUUGAGAGGAAGGGCUGGCUUAUUGUUACCAUAGAGAGGACAGAGCUUUGUCUAGUUACCAUUGAGAGGAAGGGCUAUCUUAUUGUUACCAUAGAGAGGACAGAGCUUUGUCUAGUUACCAUAGAUAGGAAGGGCUAGCUUAUUGUUACCAUAGAGAGGACAGAGCUUUGUCUAGUUACCAUUGAGAGGAAUGGCUGGAUUAUAGUUACCAUAGAGAGGACAGAGCUUUGUCUAGUUACCAUUGAGAGAAAUGGCUGGAUUAUAGUUACCAUAGAGAGGACAGAGCUUUGUCUAGUUACCAUUGAGAGGAAGGGCUAGCUUAUUGUUACCAUAGAGAGGACAGAGCUUUGUCUAGUUACCAUUGAGAGGAAGGGCUGGUUUAUAGUUACCAUAGAGAGGACAGAGCUUUGUCUAGUUACCAUAGAUAGGAAGGGCUGGAUUCUAACUACCAUAGAGAGGACAUAGCUUUGUCUAGUUACCAUAGAUAGGAAGGGCUGGCUUCUAACUACCAUAGAGAGGACAGAGCUUUGGCUAGUUACCAUAGAGAGGACAGAGCUUUGUCUAGUUACCAUUGAGAGGAAGGGCUGGCUUAUUGUUACCAUAGAGAGGACAGCGCUUUGUCUAGUUACCAUAGAUAGGAAGGGCUAGCUUAUAGUUACCAUAGAGAGGACAGAGCUUUGUCUAGUUACCAUUGAGAGGAAGGGCUGGCUUAUUGUUACCAUAGAGAGGACAGAGCUUUGUCUAGUUACCACUGAGAGGAAGGGCAAUCUUAUUGUUACCAUAGAGAGGACAGAGCUUUGUCUAGUUACCAUAGAUAGGAAGGGCUAGCUUAUUGUUACCAUAGAGAGGACAGAGCUUUGUCUAGUUACCAUUGAGAGGAAUGGCUGGAUUAUAGUUACCAUAGAG